rnacentral:rRNA from 1 species
UACGUAGGGUGCGAGCGUUGCCCGGAUUUAUUGGGCGUAAAGGGCGCGUAGGCGGCCACGCACGUCCGUUGUGAAAUCGCCCGGCUCAACUGGGCGGGGUCAGCGGAUACGGUGUGGCUCGAGCAAGCUAGGGGGCAAUGGAAUUCCCGGUGUAGUGGUGGAAUGCGUAGAUAUCGGGAGGAACACCAGUGGCGAAGGCGGUUGCCUGGAGCUUUGCUGACGCUGAUGCGCGAAAAGCGUGGGGAGCGAUCCGG